UACGUAGGUGGCUAGCGUUGUCCGGAAUCAUUGGGCGUAAAGCGCGCGUAGGCGGCCCGGUAAGUCCGCUGUAAAAGUCAAAGGCUCAACCUUUGAAUGUCAGUGGAUACUGCCGGGCUAGAGUCCGGAAGAGGCGAGUGGAACUCCUGGUGUAGCGGUGGAAUGCGCAGAUAUCAGGAAGAACACCGACGGCGAAGGCAGCUCGCUGGGACGGUACUGACGCUGAGGCGCGAAAGCGUGGGGAGCGAACAGG
rnacentral:rRNA from 1 species